AUGAGCUUCCAGAGGUAGUCACCUGAAAUGUUUUCCGACAGUCUUGAAGGAGUUCCCAGUAAUGCUGAGCACUUCUUGGCCGUCUGCGGUCCAUCUAAUGCCAUUUAAAUGAGAAGGUGAGUCCAAACUUUGGACUGGUAGUGUAUCUGC